GACGAACGCUGGCGGCGUGCUUAACACAUGCAAGUCGAACGGAGCGAAUGAAAGCUUGCUUUUAUAAGCUUAGUGGCAAACGGGUGAGUAACACGUAGGCAACCUGCCGACAGGAUGGGGACAACAUUCCGAAAGGAAUGCUAAUACCGAAUGAAGCGCAGGAGAGGCAUCUCUCCUGCGUGAAAGAUGGCCUCUAUAUAUAAGCUAUCACCUGUCGAUGGGCCUGCGUCUGAUUAGCUGGUAGGUGAGGUAACGGCUCACCUAGGCGACGAUCAGUAGCCGGUCUGAGAGGAUGAACGGCCACAUUGGGACUGAGACACGGCCCAGACUCCUACGGGAGGCAGCAGUGGGGAAUCUUCCGCAAUGGGCGCAAGCCUGACGGAGCAACGCCGCGUGAGUGAAGAAGGUCUUCGGAUCGUAAAGCUCUGUUGAUGGGGACGAACGUGCCUAAUGCGAAUAGUAUUAGGUAAUGACG
rnacentral:rRNA from 1 species